CGAACAUGGUGAACAUAGAUCAACUACUGAACUUCUUUUAACCUCUGGCAUCCUAUCUGUGAAUUACUCAGCGUGUACUCUUUGUUCUGCUUAAGCUUGUGCGUCAUGUGGCAGGCACCUGGCCAACCCCACUGUUAUAUCUGUUCCAGGUGGGGAGGAAACAGGGUCCACCCGCUGCUGCACAAGAGGGGUGUGUGCAGACCGUCACCUUGUGUCUGCUGUAGCAGGAGACCCCUGGCCAUGCGGGACUGAACCCAUGAUUGCAGCUGAUCUUACUCUGUCUCUUCUCUGUGUGAGUAAAGUGUUGUUCCAUCUA
rnacentral:lncRNA from 10 species